rnacentral:rRNA from 1 species
UACGUAGGCAGCAAGCGUUGUUCGGAAUUACUGGGCGUAAAGAGUGUGUAGGCGGUGUUCUAAGUCUGUUGUGAAAUCUCCCGGCUUAACUGGGAGGGUGCGGCGGAAACUGGAAUGCUAGAGGAUGGGAGAGGUAAGCGGAAUUCCUGGUGUAGCGGUGAAAUGCGUAGAUAUCUGGAGGAACACCGGUGGCGAAGGCGGCAUCCUGGACCGACAUUGACGCUGAGGAGCGAAAGCCAGGGGAGCAAACGGG